rnacentral:ncRNA from 1 species
UUUUUGAUGUAGUGAGUAAUAGCUCUGGUUGUUCGCUGUUCAAGAAUUCUUGUUUAGGCAGUUCAUACCAUCCACACAUAGUGUUUUGAUCUAAGAUUUCAAUUCUUCCAUGUUUCAGUAGUAGCAUAUUUUUUCAUGGAGCUAAGGUCCAAAAUAUGGAAGAAACAGGUGUUUCCACAACUCUACCACCCUGUCAAUUCCGUUCCACUUAAUCCCUAUUUCAUGACCACAUAUCUUUCCGGCUAAGUAAUGAGGGCGACUGUUUACCAAAAACACAGGUCUCUGCAAAGUCGUAAGACCAUGUAUGGGGGCUGAUGCCUGCCCAGUGCCGGAAGGUCAAGGAAGUUGGUGACCUGAUGACAGGGAAGCCGGCGACCGAAGCCUCGGUGAACGGCGGCCGUAACUAUAACGGUCCUAAGGUAGCAAAAUUCAUUGUCGGGUAAGUUCUGACUCGCACGAAAGGUGUAACGAUCGGGGCACUGUCUCGGUAGAGAGGCUCGGUGAAAUAGACAUGUCUAUGAAGAUGCGGACUACCCGCACCUGGACAGAAAGACCCUAUGAAGCUUCACUGUUCCCUGGGAUUGGCUUUGGGCUUUUCCUGCACAGCUUAGGUGGAAGGCAAAGAAGGCCUCCUUCUGGGGGGCCCGAGCCAUCAGUGAGAUACCAUUCUGGAAGAGCUAGAAUUCUAACCUUGUGUCAAGACCUACGGGCCAAGGGACAGUCUCAGGUAGACAGUUUCUAUGGGG